GGGUUGUGAGGUUAAGCGACUAAGCGUACACGGUGGAUGCCCUGGCAGUCAGAGGCGAUGAAGGACGUGCUAAUCUGCGAUAAGCGUCGGUAAGGUGAUAUGAACCGUUAUAACCGGCGAUUUCCGAAUGGGGAAACCCAGUGUGAUUCGUCACACUAUCAUUAACUGAAUCCAUAGGUUAAUGAGGCGAACCGGGGGAACUGAAACAUCUAAGUACCCCGAGGAAAAGAAAUCAACCGAGAUUCCCCCAGUAGCGGCGAGCGAACGGGGAGCAGCCCAGAGCCUGAAUCAGUGUGUGUGUUAGUGGAAGCGUCUGGAAAGGCGCGCGAUACAGGGUGACAGCCCCGUACACAAAAAUGCACAUGCUGUGAGCUCGAUGAGUAGGGCGGGACACGUGGUAUCCUGUCUGAAUAUGGGGGGACCAUCCUCCAAGGCUAAAUACUCCUGACUGACCGAUAGUGAACCAGUACCGUGAGGGAAAGGCGAAAAGAACCCCGGCGAGGGGAGUGAAAAAGAACCUGAAACCGUGUACGUACAAGCAGUGGGAGCACAGAGCAAUCUGUGUGACUGCGUACCUUUUGUAUAAUGGGUCAGCGACUUAUAUUCUGUAGCAAGGUUAACCGAAUAGGGGAGCCGAAGGGAAACCGAGUCUUAACUGGGCGUUAAGUUGCAGGGUAUAGACCCGAAACCCGGUGAUCUAGCCAUGGGCAGGUUGAAGGUUGGGUAACACUAACUGGAGGACCGAACCGACUAAUGUUGAAAAAUUAGCGGAUGACUUGUGGCUGGGGGUGAAAGGCCAAUCAAACCGGGAGAUAGCUGGUUCUCCCCGAAAGCUAUUUAGGUAGCGCCUCGUGAAUUCAUCUCCGGGGGUAGAGCACUGUUUCGGCAAGGGGGUCAUCCCGACUUACCAACCCGAUGCAAACUACGAAUACCGGAGAAUGUUAUCACGGGAGACACACGGCGGGUGCUAACGUCCGUCGUGAAGAGGGAAACAACCCAGACCGCCAGCUAAGGUCCCAAAGUCAUGGUUAAGUGGGAAACGAUGUGGGAAGGCCCAGACAGCCAAGAUGUUGGCUUAGAAGCAGCCAUCAUUUAAAGAAAGCGUAAUAGCUCACUGGUCGAGUCGGCCUGCGCGGAAGAUGUAACGGGGCUAAACCAUGCACCGAAGCUGCGGCAGCGACGCUGAUGCGUUGUUGGGUAGGGGAGCGUUCUGUAAGCCUG
rnacentral:rRNA from 1 species